rnacentral:rRNA from 1 species
GACGAACGCUGGCGGCGUGCUUAACACAUGCAAGUCGAACGGAAAGGCCCUGCUUGCAGGGUGCUCGAGUGGCGAACGGGUGAGUAACACGUGGGUGAUCUGCCCCUUACUUUGGGAUAAGCCUGGGAAACUGGGUCUAAUACUGGAUAGGACCAUGCUGUAGGUGGUGUGGUGGAAAGAUUAGUUUCGGUAAGGGUUGAGCUCGCGGCCUAUCAGCUUGUUGGUGGGGUAAUGGCCUACCAAGGCGUCGACGGGUAGCCGGCCUGAGAGGGUGGACGGCCACAUUGGGACUGAGAUACGGCCCAGACUCCUACGGGAGGCAGCAGUGGGGAAUAUUGCACAAUGGGCGCAAGCCUGAUGCAGCGACGCCGCGUGGGGGAUGACGGCCUUCGGGUUGUAAACUCCUUUCAGCCAUGACGAAGCCCUUGUGGUGACGGUAGUGGUAGAAGAAGCACCGGCUAACUACGUG